UACAGAGGUCUCAAGCGUUGUUCGGAUUCAUUGGGUCGUAAAGGGGUGCGAGUAGGUGGCGCGCUAAGUCAGGUGUGAAAUUUCGGAGCUUAACUCCGAAACUGCAAUUUGAUACUGGCGUGCUUGAGGACUGGAGAGGAGGACUGGAAUUCAUGGUGUAGCAGUGAAAUGACGCAGAUAUCAGGAGGAACACCGGUGGCGAAGGCGGGUCUCUGGGCCGUAACUGACGCUGAGGAGCGAAAGCAUGGGGAGCGAACAGG
rnacentral:rRNA from 1 species